GUUGUGCUUUGUGAACUUUAGCUCUUAGAUGAAUACUGUGUUCAUGUCUUGUUUUUUUUUUCUUUCUUAGAUUGUUUAUAGAUAAGAUAUAAUAUAUUUCCAUAGCAAUACGAACAAUAAGCGAAGCACAAUAUCCCGAAAGAACCAAUUGCCGCUACAUAUAAUGCAGCAGUCAGUUUACCCCUGUACUGUUUGUGCGUUGUACAUUC
rnacentral:lncRNA from 1 species